GUCUCGGUAGUGCAGAUGAUUAGCACGCACCCUCGGAAAGGGUGAAAUACCGGUUCGAUUCUCGCUUGAGGUU